AGUGAACGCUGGCGGUAGGCCUAACACAUGCAAGUCGAACGGUAGCACAGUAAGAGCUUGCUCUUACGGGUGGCGAGUGGCGGACGGGUGAGGAAUACAUCGGAAUCUACUUUUUCGUGGGGGAUAACGUAGGGAAACUUACGCUAAUACCGCAUACGACCUACGGGUGAAAGUAGGGGAUCUUCGGACCUUGCGCGAUUGAAUGAGCCGAUGUCGGAUUAGCUAGUUGGCGGGGUAAAGGCCCACCAAGGCGACGAUCCGUAGCUGGUCUGAGAGGAUGAUCAGCCACACUGGAACUGAGACACGGUCCAGACUCCUACGGGAGGCAGCAGUGGGGAAUAUUGGACAAUGGGCGCAAGCCUGAUCCAGCCAUACCGCGUGGGUGAAGAAGGCCUUCGGGUUGUAAAGCCCUUUUGUUGGGAAAGAAAAGCAGCAGGUUAAUACCCCGCUGUUCUGACGGUACCCAAAGAAUAAGCACCGGCUAACUUCGUG
rnacentral:rRNA from 1 species